rnacentral:lncRNA from 1 species
GCAAAAUUCUGAACUGCAGCCUUGAAAUAAAGAGCUUAAUGUAAUUCAGUGCUUAUUGGUUGCCUAGAAACUAACUUGGAAGGGGGUUGGGGAGGGAGGACUAGAAAACAUGAAGGGUUCAUAGGUUUAAUAAGGAAAUUUUUAACUCUGAACUGCUUGGGGAUGUGAUAGAUAUAUCCCGCAAUGCGCUCCUCUCCCAAGAGCUCCGUAAUAUGUCCGAGAGCAAGGUUAGGGGGCGCGCAGAAGAGGCUGCUAUAGAAUGACAGGGCAGUAGUGAAGGCUUUGGGCAAACACCAGCAUAUACAAACCUCCACAGUUGCUGCAACCCGAGAUCAUCUCAACUUGUUGACAACCUGCAGCUAUG